rnacentral:lncRNA from 1 species
AUGGGACCCAGCUGUGAGCCGAGGCCAGCUCGACCCCGGGGUGACGAUACUUCCCAGCUCCGCAGCACACUCGGAAAUCAAAGCCAUGUUCUGAUGUCAUUGUUCUUUUCCAAGUAUCCCCCCGCUCGCCUGUCCCUGGGCCAGGCGGUGUGGUGCACACUCCUGCCUCCUGGUACAUCUUGCUUCCUACAUUUUUGCAGAGGCUGCUGCUGCUGCUGUGAGCUCUAUUUUGCCUCUUGCACAGUUCGUCCAAGCCAGACCCUGAGGAGCCGCAUGUUCUGUCACUGGGAUGUUUGUGUGACUUUCAUGGAAUCUCCCUCCCUCAGCCACUUGCUCGUGGUCACUGGGUGGGUUUUGUCCCUCAGCAGGUGGCUGGUAAACCCCAGGAGGGUGCAGGUAGGGAGAGGAACAGCAAGAAAAGGGGGGCUGAUGUGUGCUGAAGGUGUUUGAUUCCAUUAAAGGUGUCUGCAGCCACUGGGUUUUGCGCACAGCAGUCUGCCUGCAGCUCUUGCUGUACCGAGCACCUUUGUGAAAGAUCCUGUAUCCUCCAAAACUGGGUGAGGAGCAAAACACCCCGCAAAGGGCAGGGUCAGACUGUGCAGGCGGUAUGGCAGCCGUGGGGAAAAUGCUAUUUUGCCUGCCCCUGCUUAAGACUCAGGCUGUUUGCAGUCAGGUCAGAAAUAGGUGGUGAUUUUUAGCAGAGUCAUAACCGUGGGAAGGCUUUGCCUCACAGCGAGGUGGGUCCUGCAUCAUCAGUCACUGGCAGCCAGCUCCCGGCAAAUGUGCUCUGCUUCCACCAUGAGACACGUUUCUAGAUGGUCUUGGGGGGACUCAGCCUAAUGCCUUGUAAUGCUCCUCUCCUUAAGCUCUGUGUGACUCUGCAAGGAGCUGGGCUCUGGAAUAGCACAGGCAGUGCCCAUAUUCCCUCCCCUGGAGCUCCCGCAGCCAUCAGCUCUCCUCCGUCUGCCCAGGGUCCCUGCCUUUGCUUUUGGGGUGUCCCCAUCAGGAUGGCACCCCUGAGCCGAGCCCACAGGAUCCUGGCGGCACAUUUGCCUUGUGGUGUGCUCUGCCUUUGCUGUCGCCAAUGAGCCUUUUGGAGGCAGCAAAUGGAUUUUCCGUGGCUGAAGUCUGUUAACCUAGGAGCAGACUUCAAGCUGGCUAUUUUUACCUGUUCUGGCACUAUUAAUAGUUGUACGGUUAGCAAUAAACGCCAGUCGAGAUAUUUGAUUUGUCUGUCCCCCCAGAGGUUGGCGCUUCCUAUUCCCCCUGUUGUUUUCCAUCAACUGCUUCAAUUAAAUGAUCUUGUCGUUAUUUUGGGGUGAUACAUUUGUGCUUUGCAAUCGGCUGUUAAACUCCUUCGCUGUCUCACACACAGAUCAAUAAACAUAGGAAGCUGUCCCACUUUCUCUCCCCAAAGUGUCCUUGUGCCUUUGCUGCCAGGCUGGAUGCUUCCCGGCAGGCAGGGAUGGG